GCCGAAAUCAAGAGUUGGCUGCUAAACUAACUGAGCCACCCAGGCACCCCAAGACUCCUGAACUUUCGUAGGAAAGUCUAGUACUACCUUCUGCGAGCUUCCAGGAAGAGGAAAUAGUGGAAGGGAUGCUAUCUGAAGAUAUGCUUGGAAGUUUUCCAUAAUAAAUGCAGAGCUUGAAUCCUGAGUUCCAAGAAGUUCAGUGAACUCCAAGCUGGCUAAAUAAAAAUAAAUUUAUACUUACACAUGUUGUAGGUGAAACACUAGAAACAAGACAGAAGCAACCUGAGGGAAGCCAUUGUCUAGACUGGCAGGCGUUUUGUUUGAAUCCAUGUAAAGUGAUAUUCAGGAGUAAGUGAAAUAAAGCCUUUGUAGAUAGACAAAGUUGAUCACUUGUAGACUUGCUGGAGGAAGUAUUAAAAGGUAGCUUUUUACGUGUAUGUUUUUUACUUCAAGAAGAAAGAGAUUGAAACCAGGAGGAGGGAAUGAGAUGCAAAUAGCAAAGUGUACAUUUUUAGGAAACAUUCCCUCCAAUUUAUUACAUGCCUUGUGGUUUGAGAAAAGUGAACAUUAGCAGCUCCCACUGAUACUAUGGAGUGGACAGAUUAAGUGGGAGGGCAGCAGAGUUCAUUCAUGUAGUGCUUACUGAGGGCUUUCAGGGAGCAAGGCACUGUGUAAAGCAAUAACGGUACAAUGAUUAAACCAGUUCCUUCCUUCAUGGAGCUUAUUGCUUAUUGAGGAGGAGACACGGUAACACAUAAAAUACAGUACAGUUGAUUGUGAAGAGCCCUUUAAGCCAUACAGAGCGUUCAGAAUGUGAGAGAUGAACUUCAUCAGGAUUUUAGGGAUACGAGUAGGCAGGUCAUGUUAGAGGAUGUCAGAGUAGGACUUGGGGAACACAGAUGAAGGAUUCAGGUAGAAAGAAACUGAGCAACAGUGAGGAAUUCAGUGUCUCGAUAAUGACAGGUUUUUGCUGAUAAAAGGACACUUUGCAAAAUGACCUUCUUUACAGUCCAAAUUGGGGUCUUAGCUGUGAAAAAAAUGUAUACUUGGCUCUCAGGGAGUUAGAUUAAAUGCACAAGGAAAAAUUGUUUUUAACAUUUAAAAAUAAGAGCAUACAUAGGGAGGGACAUAGUUAAGGUAUAAAAGAAGCUCGGUGAAUGAGAAUUAAUGGAAGGUGAGAAUGUAUACGUUGUGGUUUUGUGGCAGCUUGAUAUUGUUAGCUGGUUGUUGUUAACAAACUCCCGGACUUUGAAAAUUACUUAAAGCUAGUAUCUUGGAGUAUUCUAGGUAGAAAAGCAAAGGUCAUCAGUAUCUCUAACUACUGUUCCCUGUGGAAUCAAAAGUAUGAAACCUAAGUUGUAAUAUGCUUCUGUGUUGAUGGAGAUGGAAUGAGUGAAAAUUAAUGAUUUAGCAUUUCAUUAACUUCAAAUGCAGCUUAAAGUUUUUUUUUUUUUUUUGUGAAACCACAGUUUAUUUGCUUUAAAAGUUCUUUCUUGGGUAAAUUGAAUUUCAUCAUAGAUGUUAUUGACAAUAAACACGUUAGUAAAAAAAAACAACAACCAAAAAAC